GUGCUCGCUUCGGCAGCACAUAUACUAAAAUAGGACUGAUACAGAGAAGGUUAGAAUGGCCCUGUGCAAAGAUAUCACGUACAAGUAUAACAUGCAAGGUUGACAAAUAUAU